rnacentral:rRNA from 1 species
UUCCGGCAGUGAGUCGGCGGGGGAUAAGCUCCGUCGUCGAGAGGGAGACAGCCCAGACCGUCGUCUAAGGUCCCGAAGCGUGUGCUAAGUGGGAAAGGAUGUGGAGUCGCAUAGACAGCCAGGAGGUUGGCUCAGAAGCAGCCAUCCUUGAAAGAGUGCGUAACAGCUCACUGGUCUAGUGGUUCCGCGCCGACAAUGUAGCGGGGCUCAAGCACACCACCGAAGACGCGGCAGCAAUCUUCAUGGUUGCUGGGUAGGAGAGCGUCCUGCAUGGGGCGAAGCGGCCGGGUAACCGUGCCGUGGACCGUGUGGGAGUGAGAAUGCAGACAUGAGUAGCGAGAGACGGGUGAGGAUCCCGUCCGCUGGAUGACCAAGGGUUCCGGGGCCACGUUCGUCGUCCCCGGGUGAGUCGGGUCCUAAGGCGAGGCCGACAGGCGUAGUCGAAUGGAUGAACGGGUGGAUAUUCCCGUACCGACCAUGGACCGGCAAAACCGAGACGGUGAGUACUAACCUCCGCCUCGUGGUGGUUCCUUCCUUCGGGUUGGUUCCGCCGCGUGGUGUUGGGAGCGUAGCCGCAGUAGGUCAGCGCAGGGGUGACACGGAAUGGGAGCCGGCCGCGGAGGUGGUUUUCCGUGGUCAAGCACGCAGCCAGUCAUGUAGGCAAAUCCGCAUGGCGCGCAUGGCGAGGUGUGAUGAUGGGAGCCGUUGUGGCUCGAUAUCCGGUUGUCCAGGCCGUCGAGAAAAGCCUCGGCGUGAGGGCCAUGGCCGCCCGUACCCCAAACCGACACUGGUGGUCAGGUAGAGAAUACCAAGGCGAUCGAGCGAAUCCUGGUCAAGGAACUCGGCAAAUCACUCCCGUGCCUUCGGUAUAAGGGAGACCCACUGGGGUGAAGGACCUUGCGUCCGGAGCUUUGGUGGGUGGCACAGACCAGGGGGUAGCGACUGUUUACCAAAAACACAGGUGCAUGCGAAGGCGAAAGCCGCUGUAUAUGCACUGACGCCUGCCCGGUGCCGGAAGGUUAAGAGGAUCCGUCAAUCCUUCGGGAUGAAGCGGUGAAUUCAAGCCCCGGUAAACGGCGGUGGUAACUAUAACCAUCCUAAGGUAGCGAAAUUCCUUGUCGGGUAAGUUCCGACCUGCACGAAUGGCGUAACGACUUCCCCACUGUCUCGACCAGGAGCUCGGCGAAAUUGCAGUACGAGUAAAGAUGCUCGUUAAGCGCAGAAGGACGAAAAGACCCCGGGACCUUUACUAUACCUUGGUAUUGGCGUUAGGCGCGGAUUGUGUAGCAUAGGCGGGAGGCUUCGAAGCGUGGGCGCCAGCUCAUGUGGAGCCGCAAGGUGAAAUACCGCUCUGUUCUCGUUUGACGUCUAACCUCGACAAGUCAUCCUUGUCAGGGACAGUGCCUGGCGGGUAGUUCAACUGGGGCGGUUGCCUCCCAAAGAGUAACGGAGGCGCUCAAAGGUCCGCUCAGCCCGGUUGGCAAUCGGGUGUCGAGUGUAAUCGCACAAGCGGGCUUGACUGCGAGGACGACGGUCCGAGCAGGGACGAAAGUCGGAGAUAGUGAUCCGGUGCCGGCGCACGGGCGCGGCAUCGCUCAAC